rnacentral:rRNA from 1 species
GACGAACGCUGGCGGCGUGCUUAACACAUGCAAGUCGAACGGAAAGGCCCUGCUUUUGUGGGGUGCUCGAGUGGCGAACGGGUGAGUAACACGUGAGUAACCUGCCCUUGACUUUGGGAUAACUUCAGGAAACUGGGGCUAAUACCGGAUAGGAGCUCCUGCUGCAUGGUGGGGGUUGGAAAGUUUCGGCGGUUGGGGAUGGACUCGCGGCUUAUCAGCUUGUUGGUGGGGUAGUGGCUUACCAAGGCUUUGACGGGUAGCCGGCCUGAGAGGGUGACCGGCCACAUUGGGACUGAGGUACGGCCCAGACUCCUACGGGAGGCAGCAGUGGGGAAUAUUGCACAAUGGGCGGAAGCGUGAUGCAGCAACGCCGCGUGCGGGAUGACGGCCUUCGGGUUGUAAACCGCUUUCGCCUGUGACGAAGCGUGAGUGACGGUAAUGGGUAAAGAAGCACCGGCUAACUACGUG